rnacentral:rRNA from 1 species
GACGAACGCUGGCGGCGUGCCUAAUACAUGCAAGUAGGACGCUGAAGGAGGAGCUUGCUUCUCUGGAUGAGUUGCGAACGGGUGAGUAACGCGUAGGUAACCUGCCUGGUAGCGGGGGAUAACUAUUGGAAACGAUAGCUAAUACCGCAUAAUAGUAGAUGUUGCAUGACAUUUGCUUAAAAGGUGCAAUUGCAUCACUACCAGAUGGACCUGCGUUGUAUUAGCUAGUUGGUGGGGUAACGGCUCACCAAGGCGACGAUACAUAGCCGACCGGAGAGGGGGAUCGGCCACACUGGGACUGAGACACGGCCCAGACUCCUACGGGAGGCAGCAGUAGGGAAUCUUCGGCAAUGGACGGAAGUCUGACCGAGCAACGCCGCGUGAGUGAAGAAGGUUUUCGGAUCGUAAAGCUCUGUUGUAAGAGAAGAACGAGUGUGAGAGUGGAAAGUUCACACUGUGACGGUAUCUUACCAGAAAGGGACGGCUAACUACGUG